UACGUAGGGGGCAAGCGUUGUCCGGAUUUAUUGGGCGUAAAGAGCGUGUAGGCGGUCAGAUAGGUCCGUUGUGAAAACUCGAGGCUCAACCUCGAGACGCCGAUGGAAACCAUCUGACUAGAGUCCGGAAGAGGAGAGUGGAAUUCCUGGUGUAGCGGUGAAAUGCGCAGAUAUCAGGAAGAACACCCGUGGCUAAGGCGGCUCUCUAGUACGGUACUGACGCUGAGACGCGAAAGCGUGGGAGCGAACAGG
rnacentral:rRNA from 1 species